AUACUUACCUGGCAGAGAAGACAGCACGACCCCGAAGGUGGUUUCCCAGGGUGAGGUUUGUCCAUUUCCCUCCAGAUGUGCUGACCCCUGCAAUUUCCCCAAAAGUGUGAAACCUACCUGCAUAAUGUGUGCUAGUGGAGUACAGCAUUCAUGCUUGCCCCUG
ensembl:snRNA U1 U1 spliceosomal RNA